UCUUUCCACAUGAUGGGUUCCUGGUGCCCAAAAGGUUGGGGACCUCUGCUCUAAGCUCCAAUCGUGAGCUUGAACAUACCAUCUCCACAAUUCGAUCCACCGGGAAGAGGAACACAAGAAGACCACAGAACUCCGCUGACUUUGCUGAUGCUUGGAGCAUAGAAGGAAACAGC